UUAGUGGCGGACUGGUGAGUAACACGUAAGCAACCUGCCUGUUAGAGGGGAAUAACAACGAGAAAUCGUUGCUAAUACCGCAUAUGCCAUAUGAACCACAUGGUUCAAGUGGGAAAGGAGUAAUCCGCUAACAGAUGGGCUUGCGUCUGAUUAGAUAGUUGGUGGGGUAACGGCCUACCAAGUCGACGAUCAGUAGCCGGACUGAGAGGUUCAACGGCCACAUUGGGACUGAGAUACGGCCCAGACUCCUACGGGAGGCAGCAGUGGGGGAUAUUGCACAAUGGAGGAAACUCUGAUGCAGCAACGCCGCGUGAGGGAAGACGGUCUUCGGAUUGUAAACCUAAGUUAUCAGGGACGAUUAUGACGGUACCUGAAGAGAAAGCUCCGGCUAACUACGUGCCAGCAGCCGCGGUAAUACGUAGGGGGCAAGCGUUGUCCGGAAUGACUGGGCGUAAAGGGCGUGUAGGCGGCUUUUUAAGUGUGAAGUGAAAGUCCUGCUUUCAAGGUGGGAAUUGCUUUGCAAACUGGAGAGCUUGAGUACGGAAGAGGUAAGUGGAAUUCCCAGUGUAGCGGUGAAAUGCGUAGAGAUUGGGAGGAACACCAGUGGCGAAGGCGACUUACUGGGCCGUAACUGACGCUGAGGCGCGAAAGCGUGGGGAGCGAACAGGAUUAGAUACCCUGGUAGUCCAUGCCGUAAACGUUGGGCACUAGGUGUGGGGGACAUUCCACGUUUUCCGCGCCGUAGCUAACGCAUUAAGUGCCCCGCCUGGGGAGUACGGCCGCAAGGCUAAAACUCAAAGGAAUUGACGGGGGCCCGCACAAGCGGCGGAGCAUGCGGAUUAAUUCGAUGCAACGCGAAGAACCUUACCAAGGCUUGACAUGAACCGGAAAGGCCUGGAAACAGGUCCCCCACUUGUGGCCGGUUUACAGGUGGUGCAUGGUUGUCGUCAGCUCGUGUCGUGAGAUGUUGGGUUAAGUCCCGCAACGAGCGCAACCCUCGUUCUAUGUUGCCAGCGGGUUAUGCCGGGGACUCAUAGGAGACUGCCGGGGUCAACUCGGAGGAAGGUGGGGACGACGUCAAAUCAUCAUGCCCCUUAUGUCUUGGGCUUCACGCAUGCUACAAUGGCCGGUACAAAGGGUUGCGAUACUGUGAGGUGGAGCUAAUCCCAAAAAGCCGGUCUCAGUUCGGAUUGAGGUCUGCAACUCGACCUCAUGAAGUUGGAGUCGCUAGUAAUCGCAGAUCAGCAACGCUGCGGUGAAUACGUUCCCGGGCCUUGCACUCAAAGCCCGUCAAG
rnacentral:rRNA from 1 species